AGCUAAAGAUUAGGUAGAUGGCAAACUUAAAAAAAGAAACCAAAAAUUGGUGGAUGAGUUAAAUUAAACGAAACCCAAUGUAUCUUUUUUUUUUCUCAUAAGUUAAACCAAGAAAUUCAUAAUGUAAAACCAGGAUUAGAUACCCUGCUAUUAUUGAAUGUCGUUUAAAUCUACUUGGGAAUUACGAGCUUUUUGAGCUUAAAACCUAAAGAGUUUGGCGGUUCCAUUUUGGACCAGGGGAGCAUGGCCUGUAAGCGAUAAUCCACGAAAUUUUCACCUUUCUUAAUUAGUUUAUAUACCCCCGUUUAUGUUAGCAUUUUGAAAUUUUAAAAGUUAGCAAAAGUUUAAUUACUUAAAAAUCAGGUCGAGGUGUAGCCAAUAGGAAGGGAUGAGCUGUGCUACUUUACUAGGAGAAGUAAAUGGAAACAACCUAUUUAACAAAGUUGCUGAAAAAGUACUUGGUAGUAAAAAAAAUUUAAAAAAUUUUUUUAAAUAAUUCAAACGGAGCGUACAAAUCGCCCGUCAAUCCUUCCAUUGAGGAAGGAUAA
rnacentral:rRNA from 1 species